rnacentral:rRNA from 1 species
AGGAGAAGUCGUAACGAGGUUUCCGUAGGUGAACCUGCGGAAGGAUCAUUGUCGAAACCUGCAAAGCAGAAAGACCAGCGGACCCAUUACAACACCCAGGGGUGACCCCAACCCCUGACGCUGAGUGUGUGCAGCCCUGCCUUGCGCCCUCAGCAUAAAACGAACCCAGGCGCGGAACGCGUCAAGGAAUCAUAACGAAACGAGCUCCUGCCGUGGCCCCGGGGACGGUGAUCGCCGCAGCAGCUGUGUUGUGCUUGGUUAAGUCUAAAAUGACUCUCGGCAACGGAUAUCUCGGCUCUCGCAUCGAUGAAGAACGUAGCGAAAUGCGAUACUUGGUGUGAAUUGCAGAAUCCCGUGAACCAUCGAGUCUUUGAACGCAAGUUGCGCCUGAAGCCAUCAGGCUGAGGGCACGUCUGCCUGGGCGUCAAACACCGAUGCCCCCCCAAAUCCCCUCGUCACUCUCCCCUGAGUGCCCGGGGAGUGUGGGGGUCGGAUGAUGGCCUCCCGUGUCUUGGCUCGCGGUUGGCCCAAAGUCGAGUCCUCGGUCACGGUUACCGUGGUGACAGGUGGUUGUCGGUCGCUCGGUACCCCGUCACGUGCGCCGGACACGAAUCGAGACUCUCUUGAUUACCCCAACGCAUCCCCGUUUGGGUGCCUCUGAUGUGACCCCAGGUCAGGCGGGGCUACCCGCUGAG